AGUGAACGCUGGCGGUAGGCCUAACACAUGCAAGUCGAACGGCAGCACAGUAAGAGCUUGCUCUUACGGGUGGCGAGUGGCGGACGGGUGAGGAAUACAUCGGAAUCUACUUUUUCGUGGGGGAUAACGUAGGGAAACUUACGCUAAUACCGCAUACGACCUACGGGUGAAAGCAGGGGAUCUUCGGACCUUGCGCGAUUGAAUGAGCCGAUGUCGGAUUAGCUAGUUGGCGGGGUAAAGGCCCACCAAGGCGACGAUCCGUAGCUGAUCUGAGAGGAUGAUCAGCCACACUGGAACUGAGACACGGUCCAGACUCCUACGGGAGGCAGCAGUGGGGAAUAUUGGGCAAUGGGCGCAAGCCUGAUCCAGCCAUACCGCGUGGGUGAAGAAGGCCUUCGGGUUGUAAAGCCCUUUUGUUGGGAAAGAAAAGCAGCAGGUUAAUACCCCGCUGUUCUGACGGUACCCAAAGAAUAAGCACCGGCUAACUUCGUG
rnacentral:rRNA from 1 species